rnacentral:rRNA from 1 species
AUACGGAGGGGGUUAGCGUUGUUCGGAAUUACUGGGCGUAAAGCGCACGUAGGCGGAUUGGAAAGUUGGGGGUGAAAUCCCAGGGCUCAACCCUGGAACUGCCUCCAAAACUAACAGUCUAGAGUUCGAGAGAGGUGAGUGGAAUUCCAAGUGCAGAGGUGAAAUUCGUAGAUAUUUGGAGGAACACCAGUGGCGAAGGCGGCUCACUGGCUCGAUACUGACGCUGAGGUGCGAAAGCGUGGGGAGCAAACAGGAUUAGAAACCCUAGUAGUCC